CCUACGGGUGGCUGCAGUGGGGAAUAUUGGACAAUGGGGGCAACCCUGAUCCAGCCAUGCCGCGUGUGUGAAGAAGGCCCUCGGGUUGUAAAGCACUUUCAGUGAGGAAGAACGCCUGGUGGUUAAUACCCAUCAGGAAAGACAUCACUCACAGAAGAAGCACCGGCUAACUCCGUGCCAGCAGCCGCGGUAAUACGGAGGGUGCGAGCGUUAAUCGGAAUUACUGGGCGUAAGCGCGCGUAGGUGGCUUGAUAAGCCGGUUGUGAAAGCCCCGGGCUCAACCUGGGAACGGCAUCCGGAACUGUCAAGCUAGAGUGCAGGAGAGGAAGGUAGAAUUCCCGGUGUAGCGGUGAAAUGCGUAGAGAUCGGGAGGAAUACCAGUGGCGAAGGCGGCCUUCUGGACUGACACUGACACUGAGGUGCGAAAGCGUGGGUAGCAAACAGGAUUAGAUACCCUAGUAGUC
rnacentral:rRNA from 1 species